AUUGAACGCUGGCGGCAGGCCUAACACAUGCAAGUCGAGCGAGCGGCGGACGGGUGAGUAAUGUCUGGGGAACUGCCCGAUAGAGGGGGAUAACUACUGGAAACGGUGGCUAAUACCGCAUACCCUCGGAUGUGCCCAGAUGGGAUGAGCUAGUAGGUGAGGUAACGGCUCACCUAGGCGACGAUCCCUAGCUGGUCUGAGAGGAUGACCAGCCACACUGGAACUGAGACACGGUCCAGACUCCUACGGGAGGCAGCAGUGGGGAUUAUUGCACAAUGGGCGCAAGCCUGAUGCAGCCAUGCCGCGUGUAUGAAGAAGGCCUUCGGGUUGUAAAGUACUUUCAGCGGGGAGGCGUUACCCGCAGAAGAAGCACCGGCUAACUCCGUGCCAGCAGCCGCGGUAAUUC
rnacentral:rRNA from 1 species